UCCCUGGUAGCCUAAUGGUUAGGGACUCAGCACUGUCACUGCUGUGGCUAAGGUUCGAUCCUUGGCCCAGGAA
rnacentral:tRNA from 1 species